rnacentral:rRNA from 1 species
UUUUCCUACGGGGGGCAGCAGUGAGGAAUAUUGGUCAAUGGGCGAUAGCCUGAACCAGCCAAGUCGCGUGAGGGAAGACGGCCCUAUGGGUUGUAAACCUCUUUUGUCGGGGAGCAAGGUCGCUACGUGUAGCGAUUUGAGAGUACCCGAAGAAAAAGCAUCGGCUAACUCCGUGCCAGCAGCCGCGGUAAUACGGAGGAUGCGAGCGUUAUCCGGAUUUAUUGGGUUUAAAGGGUGCGUAGGCGGGAGAUCAAGUCAGCGGUAAAAAUGCGGGGCCCAACCCCGUCGAGCCGUUGAAACUGGUU